UUAGGGUUGGUCUGACAGAUGCCUCUGAAUUAACUAAUUUUUCAUAAAAUCUUCUUUUUUUUUGGAUUCGAUGUCUUUUUAGAAUGUAGUCAAAGCUAUCUUAGAUAAAAAUGAAUAAUAUAUUUACAACAAUGCCGAUAUAUUCAAUGUUAAAUGUCACCGUAUAAUCCAUAGUAUUUCGACAUGUCUGUGUUCUCGUGAGAUUUGCAAGAAACGUGACCAUAGGGAACUUUGACGACCACCCAAAUCGUAUGCUCUAGAAG
rnacentral:lncRNA from 1 species